CUUUCUGUUCCCGAGCCCUAGAGGUAAAGACUGGAAGGGCUGGUGGCAUCCCAUAGGGGUAACCACCCCUAGUGGAAUGGUACUAAGGCAAGCAAGCUAAUGCUCCUAGGCAGGAGCUGGAAGCCACCCCCAGAGCACAGCGCAGGGUUUCUGAUAGCAGAAGCUGGCACCUUUUGACCCUGCAGAGAGCCUGUAUAGUGUAAUGAAUUCAAUAUUCCUCUGCCACGGAAAGCCAUCCCAAAAGAGCUUUGCUGUCAUUGUUAGGAGGAACGGCCCCGCUUGUGAGGAGCGGCUCGCAGAGCCUCCCUCCUGCUCCGGCAGACCCCCGCCGGACCCCACGCAGAUGGGUGGGUUAAAGGCCGAAGAGGAAUAACUGAUCUUUACGCGCUUCAGUCGCUGCUGUGGAGUUACGGGCACGAAUCCAUUCCCAGGAAGCCACCAGUCAGAUCUGUAAAAGGGCAAGAGAUGAAGUAUUCCCAGCAAGCACAAGUAAAUCAUGCUGGGAAGGAGACAGGAGGAGAGGGAAGGCCCCCCUGAGCCCCCAUGCAGAUGCUGCCUGCUCUGCGCCAGGGCUGGCAGGGAUGCAGGGACCAAGGCGAUGCUCGUGGCACCGUCUGUGUGCAUGCAUUGUGCCUUCAUGUGUGUAGGGUUUUGUGUUGGCCCCGUGGAAAUGGGCUUCUGUGAAGCUGGGGGUCGCUGCUCAAAUGCGUUUCCCCCCCAGCAAUCCCUCAUUGCCGGGGCUUCGGUAUUUUCUGGAAACAUGUACUGUGUCUGGCCAUUUCCCUCUGUUGAGUGGAAUCGAUGUGUGGGUUGUAAUAUGUAUUAAUUCCCUGGGGGGACAUUGAACUGUUUCCUCUGCCCAGGUGGAAAGGGAUAAACACAGCCACUGACAUGCUGUUUAGUCUGAAAAUAGCCCGCUGAAUGCAUAAUGAAGAGCCUCCCGAGGAGUUACUCUGCAUGUUAAAAUGGUGUUCAGCAGCCUGUGCUGUCACACAACAUAAUUUGAAGAUGAAUGUGCAUCCAAUCAGCCUACCGGUGGCUGACUGUCACCGUCUGGCCAUUAGCAUUACCUGCCUGUUCAGCGGCGGCGGCUCCAGGAAGCACGAAGUUUGUCGGUCCCAAAAUACGCCUCGUGUGCGGACAAGACAAAUGAGGAGCUCCGUGCUCAGCACCCGCUUCAUCCUGAGCAGCCACUUGGCUUUCGCCAGCGAGGACAAAGGAGAAUGAACGUUUUU